rnacentral:pre_miRNA from 1 species
UUUCGCCUGAAUGUGCCAUGAUUCCGUUACCAGGUGUCGCUGAAUGUGCCAUGUCGCCUGAAUGUGCCACGUCGCCUGGUAACGGAAUCAUGGCACAUUCAGGCGACA